rnacentral:hammerhead_ribozyme from 1 species
AUCCAGCUGACGAGUCCAAAAUAGGAUGAAACGCCUAUCCUGUAU